AACGCACAUUGCGCCCUCUGGUAUUCCGGGGGGCACACCUGUUCGAGCGUCAUUUCAACCCUCAAGCUCUGCUUGGUAUUGGGCGCCGUCCUUACGGGCGCGCCUCAAACCCCUCGGCGUCGCCGUCCGUCCCCAAGCGCAGCGAGAUUUAUUUCAGCGUGAGGAUCGGGCCGUGUCCGCCGCAGAACACCUUUGUCUUCUAAGGUUGACCUCGGAUCAGGUGGGGAUACCCGCUGAACUUAA
rnacentral:misc_RNA from 1 species